AUUGAACGCUGGCGGCAUGCUUUACACAUACAAGUCGAACGGCAGCGCGGGCUUCGGCCUGGCGGCGAGUGGCGAACGGGUGAGUAAUACAUCGGAACGUGCCCAGUAGUGGGGGAUAGCUCGGCGAAAGCCGGAUUAAUACCGCAUACGACCUGAGGGUGAAAGCGGGGGAUCUUCGGACCUCGCGCUAUUGGAGCGGCCGAUGGCAGAUUAGCUAGUUGGUGGGGUAAAGGCCUACCAAGGCGACGAUCUGUAGCUGGUCUGAGAGGACGACCAGCCACACUGGGACUGAGACACGGCCCAGACUCCUACGGGAGGCAGCAGUGGGGAAUUUUGGACAAUGGGCGAAAGCCUGAUCCAGCAAUGCCGCGUGUGUGAUGAAGGCCUUCGGGUUGUAAAGCACUUUUGGCGGGAACGAAAAGGACUGUGCCAAUACCACGGUUCGAUGACGGUACCCGCAGAAUAAGCACCGGCUAACUACGUG
rnacentral:rRNA from 1 species